UACGUAGGGGGCAAGCGUUGUCCGGAUUUAUUGGGCGUAAAGAGCGUGUAGGCGGCCGUACAGGUCAGCUGUGAAAACUCGAGGCUCAACCUCGAGACGUCGGUUGAAACCGUACGGCUAGAGUCCGGAAGAGGAGAGUGGAAUUCCCGGUGUAGCGGUGAAAUGCGCAGAUAUCGGGAAGAACACCCGUGGCGAAGGCAGCUCGCUGGGACGUUACUGACGCUGAGACGCGAAAGCGUGGGGAGCAAACAGG
rnacentral:rRNA from 1 species